rnacentral:rRNA from 1 species
UACGUAGGGGGCGAGCGUUGUCCGGAAUUAUUGGGCGUAAAGAGCGUGUAGGCGGUUCGGUGAGUCUGCUGUGAAAUCUUGGGGCUCAACCCCGAGCGUGCAGCCGAUACUGCCGGGCUAGAGGGUGGUAGGGGAGAGUGGAAUUCCGGGUGGAGCGGUGAAAUGCGCAGAUAUUCGGAGGAACACCAGUAGCGAAGGCGGCUCGCUGGGCCACACCUGACGCUGAGAAGCGAAAGCGUGGGGAGCGAACAGG